rnacentral:lncRNA from 1 species
AAAAACAAAAAAAAAAAAAAAAAAAAAAAAAAAAAAAAAAAAAAAAAAAACUACCACACUACUAUACUAUAUAUACCACUACACUACAUACUAAUAUAUCGGACACCACCACUACAUGCUACACAAACAUACUACAUAUACACACACACGGAAACCAAAAACACUACUACUACAUUACUACACACUACCACUGCUACAAUUAUAUAUGAUAUCUAUGCACAAAACACACACAAAAUAUAUACUACACCACUACANNN